rnacentral:lncRNA from 1 species
UGAUGUGCACAUGGCUAAGAAUGCCCAGUGAGGUGUAGCAGACAUCGCCACCUGAGAUUUCACCAUUUACAGUUUCUGUCAGCCACAGACCACAGCCCUCAAACGUUAAAUGAAUCAGAACUGAGAAUCUCAGCUCCUGUUCUGAGUGCAGUUUCUCACCAAGGUCCAGACUGGACCUGGGAAGCCACCUGAUGAGGGGCCCUAGAGGGUCAGUGACUACUGGCAUCAUUCCAGCCCCAGGUGAGUUCUGUUACUCUGUCAUCAUGUUUAGCCAGCCCCCAGCAAUGCCACAGGGCCUUUGCUCAUGUUCUUGGGGUUGCUGAGGUGCUGGGGCCUCCACAGAG